rnacentral:rRNA from 1 species
CCUACGGGACGCAGCAGUGGGGAAUAUUGCACAAUGGGCGAAAGCCUGAUGCAGCAACGCCGCGUGAAGGAAGAAGGGUUUCGGCUCGUAAACUUCUAUCCACAGGGACGAAAGAAAUGACGGUACCUGAAUAAGAAGCCCCGGCUAACUACGUGCCAGCAGCCGCGGUAAUACGUAGGGGGCAAGCGGUAUACGGAAUUACUGGGGGGAAAGGGGGAGUAGGCGGGAUGGGAAGCCAGAAGUGAAAGCCUUGGGCUUAACCCGAGGAUUGCAUUUGGAACUAUCAAGCUAGAGUACAGGAGAGG